GCCUCUUCCGGCGGCCCAACCAUGCAGUCGAGCGGUAACAGAUCUAGCUUGCUGGAUGCUGACGAGCGGCGGACGGGUGAGUAAUGCAUAGGAAUCUGCCCGAUAGUGGGGGAUAACCUGGGGAAACCCAGGCUAAUACCGCAUACGUCCUACGGGAGAAAGGGGGCUCCGGCUCCCGCUAUGGGAUGAGCCUAUGUCGGAUUAGCUAGUUGGUGAGGUAACGGCUCACCAAGGCCACGAUCCGUAGCUGGUCUGAGAGGAUGAUCAGCCACAUCGGGACUGAGACACGGCCCGAACUCCUACGGGAGGCAGCAGUGGGGAAUAUUGGACAAUGGGGGCAACCCUGAUCCAGCCAUGCCGCGUGUGUGAAGAAGGCCCUCGGGUUGUAAAGCACUUUCAGCGAGGAAGAACGCCUAGCGGUUAAUACCCGCUAGGAAAGACAUCACUCGCAGAAGAAGCACCGGCUAACUCCGUGCCAGCAGCCGCGGUAAUACGGAGGGUGCAAGCGUUAAUCGGAAUUACUGGGCGUAAAGCGCGCGUAGGUGGCUUGAUAAGCCGGUUGUGAAAGCCCCGGGCUCAACCUGGGAACGGCAUCCGGAACUGUCAAGCUAGAGUGCAGGAGAGGAAGGUAGAAUUCCCGGUGUAGCGGUGAAAUGCGUAGAGAUCGGGAGGGAAUU
rnacentral:rRNA from 1 species